rnacentral:rRNA from 1 species
UCAGGAUGAACGCUAGCGGCAGGCCUAACACAUGCAAGUCGAGGGGUAGUUACUUUCGGGUAAUGAGACCGGCGCACGGGUGCGUAACGCGUAUGCAAUCUACCUUUUACAGGGGAAUAGCCCAGAGAAAUUUGGAUUAAUGCCCCAUAGUAUUAUUGAAUGGCAUCAUUUAAUAAUUAAAGUUCCAACGGUAAAAGAUGAGCAUGCGUCCCAUUAGUUAGUUGGUAAGGUAACGGCUUACCAAGACUAUGAUGGGUAGGGGUCCUGAGAGGGAGAUCCCCCACACUGGUACUGAGACACGGACCAGACUCCUACGGGAGGCAGCAGUGAGGAAUAUUGGACAAUGGGCGCAAGCCUGAUCCAGCCAUGCCGCGUGCAGGAAGAAGCAUCUAUGGUGUGUAAACUGCUUUUGUACAGGAAGAAACACUCCCUCGUGAGGGAGCUUGACGGUACUGUAAGAAUAAGGAUCGGCUAACUCCGUGCCAGCAGCCGCGGUAAUACGGAGGAUCCAAGCGUUAUCCGGAAUCAUUGGGUUUAAAGGGUCCGUAGGCGGUUUAAUAAGUCAGUGGUGAAAGCCCAUCGCUCAACGAUGGAACGGCCAUUGAUACUGUUAGACUUGAAUUACUAGGAAGUAACUAGAAUAUGUAGUGUAGCGGUGAAAUGCUUAGAUAUUACAUGGAAUACCAAUUGCGAAGGCAGGUUACUACUAGUGGAUUGACGCUGAUGGACGAAAGCGUGGGGAGCGAACAGGAUUAGAUACCCUGGUAGUCCACGCCGUAAACGAUGGAUACUAGCUGUUGGGCGCAAGUUCAGUGGCUAAGCGAAAGUGAUAAGUAUCCCA